GCAUGUAUGUUAGUCGAGUAUCAUCACUGUCGUCAUCUGUAGCAGAGAUGUAUUCAACUGUAAUCUGGACACGACCGCCUUCUUUGCAAGACAGUUCAGCCCUCAAGUCUGAACCUAACUUUGGAGGUUCGUCGUUCACAGCAGCGUCGUGCCCUGCAGUUCUAGUCGUCCAUGCUGUGGCCGAGUCUUCAUGUGAACCCUGAGCUGAUCUUCUGAGCUAUCCACAUCCUGCACCAACAAGUGUUCCUCCAUCAGGAAACUGCCACCACCUUCCUCUACCCUCAGCAAGUUAGUGAACAUCUGUGUUACUGUGAUGUUGAAGGUGAGCCCAGAGAGAGCGCCGCCCUGCUGGUCGCUUACAGUAAAUACAAACUGCACGAAGAGCGGUGAUGGAGCGAACUGUUCCUGCAACUUCCACGGGCAACUCGUCCUUCACCGGAAACACGUGGAUCACCACUGUCUAUAGACGUAGGUGCACAGAGUUUAAUAUUUGAGGCUCAGAUGUCACUGGCCUUUCGAGAUCCUCAACCACCAGUUGACCAAGCAUUGGAACGUUGAUCUCGGAGCUCAGAAGACGGACGGUGCACACCACACCGGGCUGAGUUUUAAAGACCCUCAGCCUGAUGGUGUCUUCUUCUAUAAGUGGGCUGCCGUUAUGGACAUACUUCACUUCAUCAGGCCUCGGACGCCCCAAUCGAUCGGAACCGGAGUUCAUCUGCCGUGACGAACACAGAACGGCCCCUGGCUACCUGGAGGCCGGCGUUUAACUCAACCAGACUUAAACCUUGUGCGUGUAGCCAAAGGUAACUCAAGGGCUGGAGAAUCUUGGCGCGGUGGUUCACGCAGACAUGGGCAGCGUGGCUUGGGUCCAGAGCUCUGGCCGCAUCCCAGUUUAGACUCUGGUCACUGCGAAGCCCCUCGUCUUUCACAGCCAGCUGACAUCUGGCCGGUCUGGGACAGGGGAAGCCAGAGCUGGCUGCAAUCCGUGCAGCUCCACGUCUCAUCCUGGCUGCUUGUACGUGCCAGACAGGUGUGUAAUCUUGAGCUGGAAACGAUAGAGGAUUCAGAUCAGCAUACAUACAGUAGCGAGGAGGGGUUUCAGGUGGGGAAGAAUGGGUGGACCUGCCAAGACAACAAGCACAGAUUUGUAGGCCUGCCAAGCCUGGGUGACCCAGUCACUAUCACGUCCAGACGCUUGAUGCCUCGCGUAUCAGGUGGCUUGUGUAUUUGUGUACAUAUUGGAAUGGAAACGUGUCCAAGGUUGUGCCGGCCAUGUAAAAGAGUCUGACUGUUCUUUAUUCAGUUUAAAGCUGAAUGUUUUCAUGAUCGUGGUCUACUAAAUAUGUCAUAACAGACUACACAAGCUUAAAAAUGCAAUAGCCACUGUAUGACUAUAGAUUUCACUCCUAAUUAAAUGUUUUUGAUUCAUUAUUAUACAUGUAUAAAAUCAUAUGCACAAUUAACAAUUUUACUUAUGUUAGGUAUAUACAAAAUAAAUGUAU